UUAGGGCAGCAGCUGGUUCAUCAGUUGAGCAUACCUGACAGUGUCGAGCGUGAUAAGAACCUGCCUUGAAGGGGAAUACCAGACCCGGGCCGUUGUCAGGGGCAACGAGACAGCUGCACUCCAGUUAGGUCAACGGCAGAGUGGAAGCAGGUGACAGUUUGUGGGACCAGGGGAAGGAGAAGGUGCACAGAUGGGAGAGACGUGUAAAUUGCACCAUGAGAAGCAUGAUAAACGCUGCAGAAAUCAGGCUCCUGCUUGUGAAAGUCCGACCAUGACAUACCACAUGUUAAGACUGGUCACCCAGCAGGCCAGCGUGAUUCCGCAAUGCUAAAAGCCCAUCUUG